rnacentral:rRNA from 1 species
GAUGUGGUUUAAUUCGAUGCAACGCGAAAAACCUUACCCACCUUUGACAUGUACGGAAUCCUUUAGAGAUAGAGGAGUGCUCGAAAGAGAACCGUAACACAGGUGCUGCAUGGCUGUCGUCAGCUCGUGUCGUGAGAUGUUGGGUUAAGUCCCGCAACGAGCGCAACCCUUGUCAUUAGUUGCUACAUUUAGUUGGGCACUCUAAUGAGACUGCCGGUGACAAACCGGAGGAAGGUGGGGAUGACGUCAAGUCCUCAUGGCCCUUAUAGGUGGGGCUACACACGUCAUACAAUGGCUGGUACAGAGGGUUGCCAACCCGCGAGGGGGAGCCAAUCCCAUAAAGCCAGUCGUAGUCCGGAUCGCAGUCUGCAACUCGACUGCGUGAAGUCGGAAUCGCUAGUAAUCGCGGAUCAGAAUGUCGCGGUGAAUACGUUCCCGGGUCUUGUACACACCGCCCGUCACACCAUGGGAGCGGGUUCUGCCAGAAGUAGGUAGCCUAACCGUAAGGAGGGCGCUUACCACGGCAGGGUU